AGCAGCCGCGGUAAUUCCAGCUCCAAUAGCGUAUAUUAAAGUUGUUGCAGUUAAAAAGCUCGUAGUUGAAUUUCGGGGUUCUACCGUUGGUCGGGCUUUGUCUGUACUGGCGUGUAGAAUUUCUACCUUCUGGGGAACCAUCAUGUUAUUAAUUUAACGUGGUGGGAAACCAGGACCUUUACCUUGAAAAAAUUAGAGUGUUCAAAGCAGGCUUACGUCUGAAUACAUUAGCAUGGAAUAAUAAAAUAGGACGGUGGUCCUGUUUUGUUGGUUUCUGAAUCACCGUAAUGAUUAACAGGGAUAGUUGGGGGCAUUAGUAUUCAAUUGUCAGAGGUGAAAUUCUUGGAUUUAU
rnacentral:rRNA from 1 species